GGGGAACUGGUCCAUAGGAGUAUGGUUCAAGUGACAUAUCAAGAUAUGGAAAACUCGUGUACAAAGAUAAAAUCUUCCUCACUUCAUGACCUUAUGAGAGACCUAUCUCUGUACCAAGCGAAAGCAGAAGAUUUUUUUGAAGUUCUUGAUCUUCGAAAAAGAAACGAUUUGCAUCCCACUCCUUCGACAGAUUUCAGGUCGGUUGACACUCAACAACUUGUAGUUUAUUAUGAUGAGGUACAAAUAAGCAAAGAAAUUGAAUCCUACUUUGUUAAGAAAUCCGAUCAACAAUAUCGUUCAAUGUUCCUGUUAAGCGACGGUGUAUUCACUUGCUUUAGGUGGCCACUUUUGCCGAAAGUAGUUGGGUCACAUGUUGCCAAUUUCAGGUUCCUCAGAGUUUUUUCCUUGGAAAAUGCUAAAGUAGAUGGUAUACUUUAUCCUAGAAGUUUUGUGAGAGCUUUAGGAAGUCUUUUGUACUUGAGAUAUCUCAGUGUAAGCAUGGUGCUACUCCAAACUCUCAAACUAAGAGGGGUGUAUUGGAUUGGGAUUUUAAAGCAUUUUUUUGCAUUCAUAAAAUCCGAGGUUAUUCGAUUGGGAUUGUUUGAAAUCCAUUAAAAUCUUGAGGUAUUCAAUUGGGAUUUUAAAUUAUGCUACAAAAUCCGGUGGUAUUCAAUUGGGAUUUUAAAUUAUGCUUUAAAAUCCGAUGGUAUUCAAUUGAGAUUCUUUAAAAUCCAUUAAAAUCUGAUGGUAUUCAAAUGCUGAUGGAUUUUUUUGCAUUUCAUAAAAUGAUGGAUUUUGUGGCAUUCUUCAGUGUAUUUUAAGUUUUUUGAAAUCCCAUCAAAAUCAAUGGGAUUUUGAAGCAUUGUGCUUAAAUCAUAUAAACUCUGCGACAUUUUAUUAAGAAUCCGCACAAAAUCAAAAUCACACGCAAUCCAUUAAAAUCCAUAGACUAAAAACAAUCCAUUAAAAUCCCAAUCGAAUACACCCCGUAAAUCUAUUCGAUCGUAUAUCUAUUCCAUCAUGGUUUUCAAGAAAUAUUCUGGGCAAGAUGGGACAUUUGCGGCAUUUGUACUUGCCUCAUACUUCUCUUACAUCUAUAAAUGAUCAAAAAUUAGGGUUUGAUGGGUUGGGCAAGUUAGAGACACUGGAGAACUUCAGUAAUCUGUGGUGUGAGGCUAAGGAUCUUCCGAAACUAAUCAAUCUUCAGAAACUAACAUUAGUAGUAGCCGGUGUUCAUGAUGAUGUGGAAGAGACCAUGAAAAAUCUGGCAGCAUUAGCCUUGUCAUCAUCUUCAAAUCUCCGGUACUUGGGCCUUUCUCUUUUUCUAGUUGAUCAACCGGGAGAUAAAGUGAGAGAGUUGUUUUGGGAUUAUAAUUCCAUCCUUCAGAGAUUAAGCAUAAGUGGUCGGCUUGCAGAAUUGGCUCAAUUAUUUGAGAACCAACCGGGGAAUAUUAUGAAUAAUCAUGUUGAAGAAUCUUCAAUUCGUAUCACUUCCUUGAGGCUAUGGUUAUCGCUCCUGGGAGAUGACCCAAUGCCAGUACUGGAGAAGAUUCCUACACUGCGUAUUCUUGGUUUAUUCACAGAUACAUUUUUGGGGAAGGAGAUGGCGUGCUCGGCCAUGGGUUUCCCUAAACUAACCGAUCUUGUACUGGCCGACCUCCCCAACUUGGUUAAAUGGAAUAUAGAGGAAGGCAGCAUGCCCGUUCUCACCAAGUUAAAGAUUAGGCGUUGUUGGAUGUUAGAGGAGCUUCCAGAAGGUCUGGUAUUUCUCACUUCCCUUCAGCGUAUAAGGUUCUACAAUAUGCCUACAGAUUUCAUACAGAAAUUCCACAUGGAAGAUGGCAAACAAGGACAGGACUUUUACAGAGUUGCUCACGUUCCUGAGCUUGCUAUUUUGAGUGAGUAGAUUCCCAGAACCUAUUAAUUUCCUAUCUUGUGUUACUCAUAAAGGGGGUUUCUCCUUUAAUGUGGGUUUUUUUUUAUCAAGAUUGUGGCAAAUCCGGUAUAUUCUCGUUGUAUAAUAAGUUGGCCCAACAUUAUUUUAAUUUACAGAAAAGGUGGCUAAUGACCAAUGUUUUGAUAAAGAAGAGUCGUCUUUUGCCAUGGGAAAAAUGGUCUUUAGACAUUUUUUUGAAACAUAAAAAGAUUAUUGUAUUUUGAUUGAUUUCGAGAGAGAUUAACGGUCUAGAUUUUCUGAAAACUCAUGUAAUUUUGAUGAAAGAGAAUAAAAAUAUAGGCCACGAUGCAAAGCAUGACGAUAAAUGUCAUGUCCUCUUGAUGAUGGCACUAUAAAAAUUAACAUAGACGGGGCUCUAUUUUAUGAAAAGCAGAGUUAAUAGUUUCUCUGGCGUCGCUACGAAAUAUUUGAGCCAUUCACGUCUGAUUGGAUUACAGCAUACCAUAAUAACUUAGAACUAGGGAAUGGGACUACCAUAAACACCUGAUAGUGCAAAUCAAGUGAUACUAGCUCCUCCAGGUUACUCAUAUACAAUACUCAAUCAUUGAUUGGCGACAAAUAACUUUCGAUAUGGAUUCAUUAUCAACUUUAAUCUGUUCCAAGAAUCAGUAUCAGAUCAAGCUGCACAGAGAGAGCAUCAAAACCAAAGGCUUGUUGAAUAGGAUUAUAGGUGAUAAGUGAAAUUGACUUGUAAGGAAAAAUACAAUGAGUUUUAUAUUAUAUGUAGUAGAUAAUUUAUACAGAGGUUUGCCAGGUUGUUUUGCAUUUAUAAUAUUGCUGUAGCGUUGCCAUGUCUAAUUGUCUAUAUUAAAGUCAACUACGAUAAAUUUGUCACCAGUACUCUGACAAAGAAGUGUAAGAUUUCCAAAUGGCUGAAGCAGUAGUGGCAAUUGUUGCAAGACUUACUGAUUUAUUGAUUGAAAAACCACAGCUUCUUCAUGGACUGAAACAUGAAAUUUCAGAAGUCGAGACCAAGCUCCAGUUGAUAAAAUAAUUGUGGCUCUUUAUUAAACCCUCUUCUGCAUGUUUGUCUUUCUCAUGUAGAGUCAUAUUUGUUUUGUUCUGACCAAUAUUAUGCAGCCAUGAGCUCUUCAGUGGUUGAACUUAGCACCCACAUGCUUAUAGUUUAUAGUAACGACUUGCUUAUCUAGAAGCAUACACACAUGUAUACACUAUUAAUUAUUGAGCCCUUACGAUAUUACUUGCAUUGAAUAUUAGUGCCAGGAUGCUCAUAAACUAAUAUGCCAUGUUAGUUUCAGAUCUAUAUUAAAGUCAACUACCAUUAAUUUGUCACUAGUUCUCUGGAUUUUAGUGAUAUAGGUGAUUCUGACAAACGAGGCUAAGAAUUCUAAAUGGCUGAAGCAGUAGUGUCAAAAGUUGUGGCAAGGCUUACUGAUUUAUUGGUUGAAGAACCGGUGGCUCUUGAUGGACUCAAGGAUGAAAUUCAACAAGUGGUGAGCAAGCUCAAGUUAAUGAAGACAUUCUUAAGGGAUGCUGAUUCGAGGAUGAGUGAGGAUCAAGUCCGGACUUUGGUUGCUGACAUACGAGCACUUGCUUAUGAUUCUGAACAUGUUGUAGAAAGCUUUAUUGUUAAACCUUCAUCCUCUACAAGAAACAGAAGGAAACAAGCGAUCAAGAUCAAAGAUAUAGAAAACAAGAUUUCUCUACUCUCUGAUCGCAUUCAUGACAAUAAUAUUAAAUCAACAUCAGAAUCAUCAAAUUCAUCGUCUGAAGCACCUGGAAAGCUAAAGCGGUUUCACUCUUUCACAACCGCGGAGCCAGAGAUAUUUGUUGGAUUUCAUGGAGCCGUUGAUCAACUGGUGGGACAUUUGGUAAAUGAAAGUGAUGAUUGUUACCCGCUUAUCUCUAUUUGUGGAAUGGGAGGUCUAGGUAAGACAACUAUCGCUCAAAAAAUAUACAAUCAUCCAACCAUUAAAGCAACCUUUGCUGGUUUAGCCUGGGUUUCCAUUUCGCAGAAGUGGCAAAAGAAACUUGUGUUGCAGCGAAUACUGGUAUGUCUCAUCCAUGAAAAGAGAGAGGAAAUACUUACUUGGGACGAUGACAAGUUAGUGGAGAAUCUGCUAGAAAUCCAGCAGAGGAAAAAAUGCUUGAUAGUCCUUGAUGACAUAUGGACUACUGACGCUUGGGAUUCUAUGAAAUCGGCCUUCACAACUGAAACAUCUGUGAGCAAAUUAAUACUUACCAGCCGUAAUGUGGAUGUUGCUGUGCAUGUAAAUCCAGCAGGAUUCAUAUACCAACCAGAAUGCCUAAAUGCAGAACAAAGUUGGGAGCUACUUAAGUUGAAAGCAGUUCCCAGAGGAUAUCAUCGAGGUAGAUACUUUACUUUGCAUUUAUUAUGUUUCAUUCACUAUAGUACAUAUAGGUACACAUCCACUACAAUGAAUGAAGUUCAAGAAUAUAUAAGAUCUGUUUCAAUUCAGAUGAUAUAUGUAAAGUUAAUAGUGUAGACUUGGAAAUUCCAGAUUUAGUCUAGUAUAACCUGUUUCGUGAUUUCAAACUUGCAAUUACAAAAGCUGUUUGAAAACCUAUAGACAAGUAAUUUUUUACUAAGAAAAGAGGGUGAAAUAUCUUCGACAGUCAACCCUUAAUUACAGUGUAUAUGCAUUUGUCUGUACAUUAUAUGUAUGCGUUUGUGAUUCUUUGUUUUUGUGUGUUACAGAUUCCAAAGAUAUUUUUACAGAGAUGGAAAAAAUGGGAAGAGAAAUGGUUAAAAAAUGUGCCGGUCUUCCACUAGCUAUAGUCAUUUUAGGCGGAAUUCUUGUAACAAAACCUUCAGUGAUGGAGUGGGAGAAGGUAUAUGCUGAUAGUUUAUGGUCCCUGGAAAAGGGAAAAGGAUUGGGAGAAGAUCAGCAAAGAGAAUUAUUUCAUGUUCUACUCUGGAGUUACAAUGAUUUACCCCCACAAUUAAAGCCAUGUUUUCUGUAUUUAGGUAAAUUUGGUGAAGAUGAACAGAUAGAAACAGAGACUCUAUAUCAAUUAUGGAUUGCAGAAGGGAUGGUACUGUCGACUGAUAAAAGGGAAGGAGAGACAAUGAUGCAAGUAGCUGAGUCGUAUAUGGGGGAGCUGGUCCGUAGGAGUAUGGUUCAAGUAACGUAUCAAGACAUGGAAAACUCGCGUACAAAGAUAACAUCUUCCUCACUUCAUGACCUUAUGAGAGACCUGUCUCUCUCCCAAGCAAAAGAAGAAGAUUUUUCUGAAGUUAUUAAUCUUCGAGAAGGAAAAGAUUUUCAUCUCAAUCCUUCAGCAGAUUUCAGGUCGGCUGAAACUCGACAACUUGUAGUUUAUUAUGAUGAGGAAGAUAUAAGCAAACAAAUGAAAUCCUACUUUGUCAAGAAAUGCAAGCAACAACAAUAUCGAUCAAUGUUACUAUUCAGUGAGGGUGUAUUCACUUACUGUUGGUGCCCACGUUUGCCGAAAGUAGUGGGGUCACAUGUUGGCAAUUUCAGGUUCCUAAGAGUUUUUUCCAUGGAAAAUGCUAGAGUAGAAGGUGCACUUUAUCGUAGAAGUUUUGUGAGAGCAUUAGGAAGCCUUGUGUACUUGAGAUAUCUUAGUGUGAGGAAUGUGUGGUUGGCUUUGAUUCCAUCUAUAAAGAACAUGGUGCUACUCCAAACUCUCAAAUUAGAUCUACGCCUUCCUAUAUCUAUUCCAUCAUGGCUUUCAAGAAAUAUUCUGGGCAAGCUGGGACAUUUGCGGCAUUUGUAUUUGCCUCCUAGUGAAUGGACAGCUCCAAAGAAACAAAAAUUAAGGUUUGAUGGGUUGGGCAAGUUAGAGACAUUGGAGAACUUUAGAAAUAUGUGGUGUGAGGCUCAGGAUCUUCCGAAACUAAUCAAUCUUCAGAAACUAACAUUAGAAGUAGCCGGUGUUUAUGAUGAUGUGAAAGAGGCCCUGAAAAAUCUGUCAGCACUAGCCUUGUCAUCAUCUUCAAAUCUCGCCUACUUGGGACUUUCUCUUGUUUUAUACAAUCAACCAGGAGAGAAGGCGGGAGAGUUGUGGGAUUUUAAUUUCAUCCUUCAGAAAUUAAGCAUAACUGGUCAGCUUGUAGAAUUGGCUCAAUUAUUUGAGAACCAACCGCGGAAUAUCAUCAAUAAUCAUGUUGAAGAAUCUUCAAUUCGUAUCACUUCCUUGACGUUACGUUCAUCGCUCCUGGCAGAUGACCCAAUGCCAGUACUAGAGAAGAUUCCUACGCUGUGUAAUCUCGAUUUAUUCUUAGACUCAUUUGUGGGGAAGGAGAUGGUGUGCUCGUCCAUUGGUUUCCCGAAACUCACCAGUCUUAAACUGCUGCACCUCCCUAACUUGGUGAAAUGGAAUAUAGAGGAUGGCAGCAUGCCCCUUCUCACCAAGUUGUACAUUGAUUGUUGUUGGAUGUUAGAGGAGCUUCCAGAAGGCAUAAUAUUUCUCACUUCCCUUCAGCAUUUUGAGUUACGCGAUAUGCCUGCAGAUUUCAUACACAAACUCUGCACGGUAAAUGGCAAACAAGGACAAGACUUUUACAAAGUUGCUCACGUUCCUGACUUGUCUAUUAUCUAAGAGUAGAAUAAGGAGCUGAUCACAUCCAUCAUUGUAUUUUGAUUAAUUCAAGAACUCAAGAAGUUGUAAUUUUGAUGAAAGAAAGUAAAAAUAUAAGCCACGAUGAAAAGCAUGAAAAUAAAUGUUAUAUUCCGUAUUAUAAACAAGAGGUAAUUUCGAAAUGUAGAGCCACUGAUUAGUGAAGAGCUUUUAAAGCCUUGGAUCAGGUUUCAAAGGAGUGUCUAGAAUAUUAGGUACAUGUUAUCGAUGGUUGAUUUUAAAAAUUGGUACAUUUAUGUUGAUGUUGAAGUGAGGAAUUAUGGUUCGAGUAUUGAAUGUUGGUUUAUAAGUUUUGUAAGAAAUAAGAUUAUAAAACUUUUGAUAGUUACAUGAUUGAUGCUGAUAAAGCAUUUUUUAAGGAGUAUAAGACGAAGAACAUAGUAAAGUUUUUGUGUUAUGCUGCCUGGGUGAGGAAUGAGACGGUGAUUUUUGAGAUCAACUCGGAAGGCAGUGAGGAAAACUGAGGAGAAAGGUAGAGGGUUCGGGAAGGUCAAGAAGCCCAAUCAACGUUGUAUUUUGUGACCGAUUUGGAUCCAAAUUUGGAGAUUUGAUUUUCAAAAUUUAUUUCUAGGCGAAAAUUGAUGAGGAGGGUGCUGAGUUUUAUUUGAUUCUGAAGAUAAUGAAACUGGAGCCAAUAUGUUUGUUCGGUGAAAGAGAUGUUGUCCGGACGUGAGAAGUUCCAAGUACCGCAAGACACACUUGGACUUGUUUUUGUUGAAGCACAGUUUAUUUCUAGUUCUUCUAUAUGAACUACACACACAAAAUGUAUUUUCAUAAUAUGUUUGAGAUUGCUACACAUCCCUGAACUUAUUACACUCGAAUCUCACACAAGUUUUAGAUGAUAAUAGUACAAUCACAAACCAGCUAGCUAGCUCCAACGGAAUUCAGAUUCAGAGCAUAAAACGAAACCUUUUUCUUUAUUGUCAGAUAGUUUAAAUAAAACCUUAAAGUAAAACCAGCAAUUAAUUAAACUGCCAUGCAUAUGAGAAGUGCAGGUACAGAACACCUGUGUGUCUAACAAGAUACGCCCAUCAAUAAGUUUUAAAGCAUCCAACUAUUGCGAACCCCGAACUUAUUAUACUCGGAUCUAACUCAAGUUUGAGGUGAUAAUAAUACAAUUACAGAGCAGCCAACCCCAACAUCAACAAUAUUCAGCAGGGCAAUCAGAAUUUAGAAAACAGUUCAAACGAAACCUUAAAGUAAAACCAGCAACUAAAUUACCUUGAAUAUGAGAAUUGCAGGUAAAAAACACCAGAAAUGAAACUCCUGAACUUAUCUGCAACGUUAAUUCGCUAUGUGUCUAACAAGAUACGCCCAUCACUCAAUAAGUUUCAAAGCAUCCAACUAUUGUGAGGAUAGAAAAUUACCGAACCUGGUAAUUAUAAGCGGUUUAGAACCUUUGAUUGAAGCACCGGUCUCUGUGUAUUUAAAAAAUGUUUUCAGCCCCGCAACUGGAACCGGAAUAUGUUUGUACUCUUUCUUCCGGUAGUCAUACAAGAAGAGUUCCUCAGGACACUCAAACUCGAAGAGUUCAUCAUCAGGACACACAAACUCUUUCACUCCAGAAAACAGUCCACCACCCAAAUAAGAAUAUACCCAGAUUAUUUCACCUAGUUCAAUAUUUAACUUCUUAGUCCAAGAAAUUUUGCCAUCAAUAUGAUCUAAUGUCCAUAGACAUAUUUCUGAUCUUUCCCCAAUGGAUUCAAAGAUGACCCCUGCAGAACCUUCAAAAUCCAAAAUCUUUGAGUAAUAUGACACGGAACAAGGUAGUGGGACCACCGUACACACCUCAUUGUGCAAAUCAAACGAAACUAUAUCUCUGUGACCACCUGCAUACAACGCUCCAUUUAUCACAGGACCAAGUUCAAAAGUUAAGUCACAGAUGCUAAUGAUGUCAUGACAAUGAAUCUCUUUCCAGGAAUCACUAUUUGUUGAAUAUAUCUGCAAAAUUGGUGCAUCACUAGUAAAAAUGUUUUCGUGUAGAAAGCGGACAACCUUGUAGUCAUCGUAGAUGCUAUCAAAAGCAAAUGCUAGGGUACCGUGAACAUCGUCUCCCAAAGCCCUGGCAUAACGGGGAAAUCUAGGAAGUUCCUUGCACUGCUUGGUUGUUGGGUUCCAGAGGUAACAGUAUAUAUCGAAUACUAGACAUAUAAUGCCAUUAGAGGAACCAAUAACUGUGAACAGGCGCGGCUUAAGUAGAUAACAUUUAUAGCUGGGACAGACUAGUCGAGUAAUGUCUGUCAAAACCGAUGGUUCACCAAUCAUCAACACUGAAGCUUCCUCGUCCGCUCUAAUACGUCUGUAGUACGAGAGUGUUUUAAUAAAUUCGGGGUCUGAGAUAAUAGAUCGCCACGACUUGCAGACCGAGCUGCACCUCGUCAAUGACUUGGCGGGAAGCCGAUAAAAUAUUUCAGUAACCAUCUCAUCAGGCAAAACAAACUUUGAGCAUGCCAUUAUGUUCCAAGACGGUCGUCGAGCUCACGAAAAAUUACACCUGUGGAAACAAAACCAGAGCAAAUUUCGAGGCCAGUUGAAACAAGAAAAUCAAUUUGAACUUCAAUGCCACACAACAGUGUAACGAAUCAUAUACCCCAUCAUAUAACAAAGCCAAAAUUCAGAAAUUUAAUAAAUCCCUACUUCAAGCCCUAAAUCUUAAUAAAACAUCAACACACGUAUACCUAUACAACUUCAGGAUCAUAUACCCCCACAUGUAUACACAAACCAUAGUUACAAAUAACCGGGAUUACCAAUAUAUACCAAAUAUAAUCGAGGCUAAAUUCAGAUUUAGUUAACUUUUUUCACGUCAGAUCAAUUAGAUCUUAAAAUAUUAUUUUUACCAAUUUUUAACUAAAAGUCAAAAUUCAGAAAAAUCAUCUAUUAAAGUUUGGAAUUGAGUUGGAUCUUCACCGGUCCUGGACGCCAUCGUACACAAACAUUUUUAUAAAAAUAAUUGAACAUAGAACUUCGACAUAUUACAAAUGAAAAGCUCAAUAAGUUACGAAUUUUGAGAUAACAACGUCAAGAUGUGAAAUAAAAUGUAAACGCACACAUAAAUUUGCAAAAAUUAGGGUUUCACAAAAUGAAAAGUUAAUUACCUUCAAAUCUGGAGUGUAGACGAUGCUUUGAAGUCUCCAAUUAAUUCAAUUGUAUUGCCAGGGUCAGUGCUUUUUAUCGGGCGACGUACUAAUUGAGAAUUGACGAGGUCUCCAAUUAAUUUCAACUGUAUUGCCGGGGUCGGUGCUUUUUAUCGAGCGGCGUACUAAUUGAGAAUUGAGUAUCGGUUAAGCAUUUGUGCUUUGAGUAUCAAAACAUGGUUAAUAUUUUCCUAUAUACUCAUGUGUUACACACGUGAUGUGACGAGACUAAUAUAGCUUUUUUAAAGUUACUUUAUUGAGUUUCGAUCAAAAAAAAGAAAAAAGUUACUUUAUUGAGUUACACAUUUGUCAAAGGUGUAUCGUAUGUAAGAUGAAAGUUGAAUACCAUAGUAAUUAGGUGAAGAGAAUGCCAAAUUAUAUUGGGCUUAUUUAAAUUUGAAAAUUAUAUGUGAUAUUGUUUAAUAUUUUUUUUAUUGACAUUUAAAGACUCUUUAAGAGUUUUCUCUUUUCAUGUGAUUAAAGUGUUAAUAAAUUUUUCGUGUAAAAUAUGAAGAUAUCUUAGCUCUUGUCGCGAAUUCAAGGUGGUAAUGGACUUCCUCAUGUACCCAAUGAAUAUAUCUCAAUCGAAUUUGUUCUCCAGGAUUCGUUUGUGUUUUCAAGGGUUAAUUUUUGUUGAUCUUACACCUCUGUGCUGCGUCAUGAGGGCAGCUAAACUGGUAGUACAGCAGUGGCAAAAUGCUCGGAGCUUUGAAGUUUUGCACUAUUAAAAUUAACAUGGACGGGGCUCUAUUUUUUUAAAAGCAGAGUUAAUAGUUUCUCUUGCUUAAGUCUAACCCCAAGGGAUCCAAAAUCCAAAAUCUCUGGGUAUCUUUCCAUGGAUCUAGGGAUGGGGACUACCGUACACACCUCAUUGUGCAAAUCAAAUGAAACUAUGUCUCCCUGAUGACCCGUGUACAAAACUCCAGGAUCAGUAUUUGUCGAAUAUAGCUGCAGAACUAGAGGCAACAUGUUGUCUAAUUAGGGAUGAGUAUCGUGUCACUUCAAGACCUCUAUUAUGGCAAGUUCAACAAUAUCCUAAAAUGAGGUACUAAAUCAACAGUUCCAUUUUCCAAACCUUAUAAUUUUGUGCCGCUGUGAAUGCUAGCUACAUGUAAAUGCUUUUCAUGAAAUGCACGGAAGCCAUUCUUGGAUUACAAACGCGUGCCUACUUGAUAGGUUUACUUAAAUUUACAUAAACAAUUUAACUUAGAUUCAAAAAUUAGACCACAGUACGAAAGUAAAACCUGAAGUGCAGAAUGGAAAGGAAAACAGAAGCACCUUAUAUGUGAGGAUUUAGGUGCAGAACUCCUAGGACUAGUUUUAUAGACUUAAACACAUGUCUAAUAACGUAUAUAUAUAUGAUAUGACUUCUAGCACUUGGUUGAAAGAUAGAAAUCAUUGAAACACUUGGUUUGAACCCUUCGAUUGAAGAUAAGGUCUCUGUGUAUUUAAGGAAUGAUUUCCGUCUCCUACCUCGACUAGUUUAAAAGCUUCUCUUUGUAUAAUCAUACAAGACUGUAGUAUGGCCUUCAAGUCAUUCUCUGCCCCAAAAAAGUCCACUACCUAAGUAAGACUUUAUCCAUGGUAACUUAUCAUGCAUAAUGAGCUUUCUAGUCCAAGAGGCUUCGCCAUGAAUAUUAUCUAGUGUCCACAGACUUUUCGAGCCAUUCUCAUCUGAUUGGAUCACAGCAACAGAGCCAUUGAAUUCCGAAACAUCAGACAUUAAGGUUGUGUUCACUUGGAUGGAAUGGAAUGAGAGGAGAAUGGAAUGAAAAAUUAUAUAGAAAUUUUAUGGAGAAACAAGAAAGUAUGAGCUAAUAGUGACUAAAUAUGAAUGAGUUAAUUUUUUUUGUGAUUAAGAUUGUAAAGAAAUAUGAUGUAGAGAUGGAAUGAGCAUUCCUUCCAAAACAUGUGGGGUAGAAUUCUAGUUAAAAUAGUAUGAAUGGAAUGAUUGAAGGAAUGAAAAUUGUAUACAUUUUGUUAGAUCAACACCAUUUUUGAGUACAAAAUUCAUUCCAUUCUCCCUCCAUUCCAUUCACUCCAAGUGAACACAACCUAAUAACCUAGAAUAAGGGAAUGCAUGCACUGUAAACACCUCAUAGUGCAAAUCAACCGAGACAAGCCGUGCCUCAUGACCCAUAUACAAUACUCCAUCAAUGACAGGACCAAAUUUCAAACGCGGCUCAAGCAGCUCUCUAGAUAUGGACGUAUCACAAACAUGAAUCUCUUUCCACGCAUUAGUAUUUGCGGAAUCUGGUACAAAAUUAUCAGCGAUAAAGACAGAAUCGAGUAAUAGAAUGCCUUCUAGGAGUGAAUGAACCUAAAAACCUAAUAACUUUGUAGUCAUUAGAGAGAGAAUCAAAACCAAAGGCCAUUCGAUGAACUUGAUACAUAUAAUACCAUUACACGAACCAACAACCUCAAAACGGUGUGCUAUAUUUCGGAUAUAAUAUAUAGCAGAGUCUUUAGAGACAAAUUGAAGCUGUUGAUAAUCAUCAACUUCCCCAGAAAUCGAUAGUAGUGAAGCAUUCUUAUUAGCCCUAAAUUGGGUGUAAUCCAUGUGAGCCUUAAUGAAAUUCGGUUCGGAUAUAAUGGAGAGCCAUGACUUGCAAACAGACCUAAAGCGGAGCAAUGUCCUCACGGGAAGCCAACAAAGUAUUUCAAUACCAUCUUUUCCGGCAAAACGUACUUCAAUCUUGCCAUUGGGUGUCAAGCUAAAUUUUAUAUAUACUACACAAUAGCUGGGUUUUAUAAAGCAAACACAAUGAGGGAUAUCUUGCAGUUGAAUGUUAAAGCUGAAGAUAUGUACGUAUGACUAGAUAACAAUUUUAAAACAAAAGAGUUUAAAACCUACUCCCUCCAUCCCGUUGGAUUCUUUAUGAUUUCGUAUUUUCACUUUCACUCAUUUCUUUACAUUACAAACACUCUUAAAAUAAUUAAUGGGUCCCACCAUUAGUCUGUUGUUCCUGCCUUUUCACACUGCUUAUACUCUAUUAUAUCACUUUUAUAUAUCAAAAAUCAAUGAGGCCAACCAUUUUUUCAUUUUUCCUACCUUUUCACACUACCUUUACUCUAUUAUACCUCUUUUAUAUACUAAAAAUCAAUGAGUUCUACCACUUCAUCCACUUUUCUACUACUUUAUACGUAUUUUUUAAUCUUCGUGUCCAAACCCAAUCUAAUAAAUUGGGUGGGACAUAGGGAGUAUGUAUCACAGACUCAUAGUACCAGGCUUAUGUGUUAUGUCUAUUCUCUUGAGCUACCCAGGCCACUAGGAUGAGCAAAAUUGAACGAUAAACUAAAACCGUACAAAACUGUACCAAACAAAACCACACCAAUUGGAAACCGAACCAGAUAAAAACCGAACAAAUAAUAUGAUUUUUAUUUGGUUUUAAAUUUAUUAAAACCGAAUACAAACUGAACCGAAUCAUGAUAAUAAUUAUUAUAAAAAUGAUAUUUUAUAUAAAAUAAUAUAGUUAUAUAAAUGAGAAAAAGGUAUAUCAGAUUAAUUUGAUAUAAGUAGUGUGUAUAUAUGAGGUUAAACGGCAAGGUGCAUUUGUUUUUAAAUGUACCUAGAUUGUCGUUUCAUGAGAAACCUAUUAUUCCACCUUCAAUUCCUUAUUUCUUUAAGAAAUCAAGGAGACAAAACUAUAUACAUAUGUCGUAUAAUUGUGUAAUCAGGAGGUUUUAUAUGUCAUAUUACACACAAUUAGGACAUGUCCACAAAAAAUAGUAACAACAACGUGCAGCGAUCAGUUUUAUGGUUUCACCUCAUAUAAGCAGUAUCAGGUUAACCUGAUAUUCCUUUUACUCUAUAUAAAUAUAUAAAGUAAUAUAAUUAUAUAAAUAAUAUUAUAUGAAUAAUGUCUGCAACACAGAAAUAGCUUCAUGUGUGAUUAGUCUGUUCCUUUAUUAGUAUGCUCUCCUUUCCUGUUCAAUUCAUCUAUUCAUUUAUUUACUAGUAUCAUUGAUUCAAGUGUUUCAUCUAAGAUAUGACUUCUGUACAAGAACACGCUAAAUUUCUUUGGAAUUGGGAACUUAACACCUACUUGCAAGGAUAUAGUUGUAACCUUUUAGUAAGUCUACCCCCAAAUUAGAUAGUAAAUAUAUUAAAAAGCAUUUUAUAAAAUUGAUUUUAAAACCGAAACCGAAUUUCAAAAACCGAAACCGAACCAUUUACAUGGUUUGAUCUUUGGUUUCUAGUUUAGAAACCAAAUUAAUAUGGUUACCGCUUACCGUACACCGCCCCAAGCCACCCUACGCUCAUGUCUACUGCCCACCUCCAGCUUGCUUCUUUUUAUUAACUCAAAGUUACCCAACUAUCAAAAACAAUUCUUGAUAACAAUAAGUACAUUAGAUAAUCGGCUACUAGUUAAUUGGGUAUGGGCUUAUGAUGAGCAGCGCCUGCGUGUUCUGUUCUUCCUUCUCCGGGCUCCGACAAAUCCAUGGAUUUUGCUUCUUCUGCAGAGUGUAUGUUUAUAUUGUGUAUCUAUAUAUAUUUGUUGUUUUAAUUGAAAUUAUCAGGUCAUAACUAGGUUAAUUGUUAUGUUUUAUUAUGUGUUCAAUCAGUAAAUUGGUCUUUAUUUGUAUAUAUAAUCUGUGUAGUUGUGUUGAUUGCCCAAUUUUAAUAUUCUAUUGCUUUGUUUAGCAGCAAAAAGUUGAAAAAUUAUUCACUGGACAGUAGCAGUCUAACAGGAAGUUGAAAGAAAAGUGGGAAUUCUGUGAUUACAACAUUUAGGUAUGUUAAUAUCGUUUUACCUGUAUAUUUUUCCCCUGCUGUAACUUUGUAGGCCUUUAUCUAUUAUCUGGAUAUUAGAAUUGAUAGUUAAUAUUUGAUACUUAAAAUGCCAACCUUAUAUUUGUUAAGCAGUUAAUCAAUCAUGCAUCGAUUUGAUAAAAAAACUCCGAACAUCUCCCCCGUCAUCUCCAACACCUCCCCAGCCAGUAAUAGAUGAGCCUCCAAUUGGCAGUGUUCCUGAAUCUUCCCCACCAGAUUUAAACCCAGAAAUUGUUGUUGAUGAACUUGAAGCCGGGCCAGGGUUGCGAAAGAAUGUAAAUAUUGUUGCUCCAGAUGAGAGAGAGAGAUAGAAUUCGAAGGGCAUUCUUGCUAAAAGGACCAUUUUGUAUUUAAGAAAAACUUCUGGUUGUCAAUAUUUCUGCUCCUGUAUACUUUAGUAAGAACAUGUUAAUAUAUUAAGAAAAUACUUUGGUGAAAUAUUUUGGUGCCCCCUCUAAAAUUAGAUCCUAGAUCCGCCCCUGAGCUUGCCCAUGUCUAUAUUAAAUUCAAUUACCACUAAGUUAUAGUAUAGGAUAAGAAUUCCAAAUGGCUGAAACAGUAGUGUUAAUUAUUGAGCCCUUAAGAUAUUCUCUCUUUUUUUGCCACCAGCCCUUAUAAUAUUACUUGAAUUGAAUAUUUCUAUUAUUUUAGGAAAAAAAACCUUAUCAACUUAGUGCCAGGAUACUCAUAAACAAAUAUGCCAUGUUUGUUUCAGAUCUAUAUUAUAGUAAACUACCAUAAAUUUGUCACCAGUUCUCUGAAUUUUAGAGACAUAGGUGGUUCUGACCAAGAAGACAAAGAAUUCCAAAUGGCUGAAGCAGUAAUGUCAAUUGUUGUGGCAAGGCUUACUGAUUUAUUGAUUGAAGAACCCGUGGCUCUUCAUGGACUCAAGGAUGAAAUUCAACAAGUGGUGAGGAAGCUUGAGUUGAUGAAGACAUUCUUACGGGAUGCUGAUUCGAGGACAAGUGAGUAUCAAGUCCGGACUUUGGUUGGUGACAUACGAGCACUUGCUUAUGAUGCUGAACAUGUUGUAGAAAGCUUUAUUGUUAAAGCUUCAUCAACUGCAAGAAACAGAAGAAAACAAGCAAACAAGAUCAAAGAUAUAGAAAGCAAGAUGUCUCUCCUCUCUGAUCGCAUUCGUGAUAAUAAUAUUAAAUCAACAUCAGAAUCAUCAAAUUCAUCAUCUCAAGCACCUGGAAAGCUAAAGCGAUUUCACUCUUUCACAACCGUUGAGCCAGAGAUAUUUGUUGGAUUUCAUGGAGCCGUUAAUCAACUGGUGGGAUAUUUGGUCAAUGAAAGUGAUGAUCGUUACCCGCUUAUCUCUAUCUGUGGAAUGGGCGGUCUAGGUAAGACAACUCUCGCUCAAAAAAUAUACAAUCAUCCAACCAUUAAAGCAUCCUUUUCUGGUUUAGCCUGGGUUUCCAUUUCGCAGAAGUGGCAAAAGAAACUCGUGUUGCAGCGAAUACUGAUAUGUCUCAUCCAUGAAAAGAAAGAGGAAAUUCUUACUUGGGACGAUGACAAGUUAGUGGAGAAUCUGCUAGAAAUCCAGCAGAGGAAAAAAUGCUUGAUAGUGCUUGAUGACAUAUGGACUACCGAUGCUUGGGAUUCCAUAGAAUCGGCCUUCACAACUAAAACAUCUGGCAGCAAAUUAAUUCUUACCAGCCGUAAUGUGAAGGUUGCUGUGCAUGUAAAUCGAGAAGGAUUCAUAUACCAACCAGAAUGCCUAAAUGAAGAACAAAGUUGGGAGCUACUUAAGUUGAAAGCAGUUCCCAGAGGAUAUCAUCUAGGUAGAUACUAUACUUGCAUCUAUUAUGUUUCAUUCACUAUAGUACAUAUAGGUACGCAUUCACUCCAAAGAAUAAAGUUCAAGAAUAUUAUUGAAAAUGUCCAAAUCCAUGAUACUAGAUCCUUUUUCAACUCAGAUGAUAUAUGUAAAGUUAAUAGUGUAGACUUGGAAAUCCAGAUUUAGUCGAGCAUAACUUGUUUCAUGAUUCUAAACUUGCAAUUGCAAAAGAUGUUCGAAAACCUAUUUAACAGUAAGUAAUUUAUUACAAAGAUAAGAGAGCGAAAUAUCUUGGACAGUCAACCUUAAUUACAUUAGAGGUUUAUCUACAUAAAAGGCAUGGCGAGAAAUUAUUUUAGCCGAUUAUAAAAUUAAAAAGAAAUAAAUUUUAGUCUAUAUGCAUUUGUCUGACAUAAUAUGUUUUUGUUUGUGAUUCUUUGCUUUUGUGUGUUGCAGAUUCCAUAGAUAUUUUUAUUGAGAUGGAAAAAUUGGGAAGAGAAAUGGUUAAAAAAUGUGCCGGUCUUCCACUAGCUAUAGUCAUUUUAGGCGGAAUUCUUGUAACAAAACCUUCACUGAUGGAGUGGGAGAAGGUUUAUGCUGAUAGUUUAUGGUCCCUGCAGAAGGGAAAAGGAUUGGGAGAAGAUCAGCAAAGAGAAUUAUUUCAUGUUCUAGUCUGGAGUUACAAUGAUUUACCCCCACAAUUAAAGCCAUGUUUUCUGUACUUAGGUAAAUUUGGUGAAGAUGAACAGAUAAAAGCAGAGACUCUAUAUCAGUUGUGGAUUGCAGAAGGGAUGGUACUGUCGACUGAUAAAAGGGAAGGAGAGACAAUGAUGCAAGUAGCUGAAUCGUAUAUGGGGGAACUGGUCCAUAGGAGUAUGGUUCAAGUGACAUAUGAAGAUAUGGAGAACUCACAUACAAAGAUAAAAUCUUCCUCUCUUCAUGACCUUAUGAGAGACCUAUCUCUGUCCCAAGCAAAAGCAGAAGAUUUUUUUGAAGUUCUUGAUCUUCGAAAAGGAAACGAUUUUCAUCUCAAUCCUUCAGCAGAUUUCAGGUCGGUUGACACUCGACAGCUUGUAGUUUAUUAUGAUGAGGAACAUAUAUGCAAACAAAGUAAAUCCUACUUUGUCAAGAAAUGCAAGAAACAACAAUAUCGAUCAAUGUUACUAUUCGGUGAUGGUGUAUACACAGAUUUGCCGAAAGUAGUGGGGUCACGUGUUGCCAAUUUCAGGUUCCUAAGAGUUUUUUCCAUAAAAAAUGCAGCAGUGGAUGGUAUACUUUAUCCUAGAAGUUUUGUUAGAGCAUUAGGAAGCCUUGUAUACUUGAGAUAUCUUAGUGUGAGGAACGUUGACUUGUUAUUGGUUCCAUCUAUAGAGAAUAUGGUGCUACUCCAAACUCUCAGAUUAGAUCCAUUCAAUCGUAUAUCUAUUCCAUCAUGGCUUUCAAGAAAUAUUCUGGGCAAGCUAGGACAUUUGCGGCAUUUGUAUUUACCUCCUCAUGAUUGUACAACUCCAAAGAAAGAAAAAUUAAGGCUUGGUGGAUUGGAUAAGUUAGAGACAUUGGAGAACUUCAGUAAUCUGUGGUGUGAGCCUAAGGAUCUUCCAAAACUAAUCAAUCUUCAAAAACUAACAUUAGAAGUAGCCGGUGUUGAUGAUGAUGUGAAAGAGAGCAUAAAAAAUCUGUCUGCACUAGUCGUGUCAUCAUCUUCAAAUCUCACGUACUUGGGACUUUCUCUUUUUUUAGAUGAUCAAGCAGGAGAGAACGCUAGAGAGUUGUUUUGGGAUUAUAAAUCCAUCCUUCAGAAAUUAAGGAUAAGUGGUCGGUUGGCAGAAUUGGCUCAAUUAGUUGAGAACCAACCGCGGAAUAAUCAUGUUGAAGAAUCUUCAAUUUGUAUCACUUCCUUGAAGUUACAGUACUCGCUCCUGGUAGAUGACCCGAUGCCAGUACUGGAGAAUAUUCCAACGCUGCGUAAUCUCGAUUUAUCCUACGACUCAUUUCUGGGGAAGGAGAUGGUGUGCUCGUCCGUGGGUUUCCCGAAACUCACCAGUCUUGUACUGCGCAGGCUCCCCAACUUGGUGAAAUGGAAUAUCGAGGAAGGAAGCAUGUCCGUUCUCACCAAGUUAGAGAUUGAUCGUUGUUGGAUGUUAGAGGAGCUUCCAGAAGGUCUGAUAUUUCUCACUUCCCUUCAGCAUUUAUCGUUUUUCUGGAUGGCUACAGAUUUCAUAAACAAAGUCCGCACGGUAAAUGGCAAACAAGGACAGGACUUUUAUAGAGUUGCUCACGUUCCUGACUUUUCUAUUUUCAAUGGGACUGACUGGCAAUAUGUAGAAUAAGGAGCUGGUCACUUCUAGAAUCCCACAACCGGUCAAUUUCCUAUUUUUCGUUAUCCAUAAAUGAAUAUUCUUCUUUAAUGUGUUUUUUUUUUUUAUCAAGGUUUGCAACAAAUAUGAUAUAUUCUGGUUGCAUAAUUUAAUAUCUAUUCUGUUUGUAUAAACGAAUGUUCGAAAUAUUAGGUAUGUGUCAUUGUUGGUUGAUACAAGUUUUAUAGAUUUUGUCUGAAACAGGAUAAAACUUUUGAUGUUUACACAACCAAUGAUGAUAAAGUACAUUUUUAAGGAGUAUAAGAGGAAGAAAUGAGUAAAGGUUUUGCCUUAUGCUGCUUGGGUGAGGAAUAGGUCGUUGGGUUUUGAAACCAAUACCAGUUAUUUAGGUAAAUAUGGUGAAGAUGAACAGAUAGAAAUAGAGACUCUAUAUCAGUUAUGGAUUGCAGAAGGGAUGGUACUGUCGACUGAUAAAAGGGAAGGAGAGACAAUGAUGCAAGUAGCUGAAUCGUAUAUGGGGGAACUGGUCCAUAGGAGUAUGGUUCAAGUGACAUUUCAAGAUAUGGAAAACUCGCGUACAAAGAUAAGAUCUUCCUCACUUCAUGACCUUAUGAGAGACCUAUCUCUCUCCCAAGCAAAAGCAGAAGAUUUUUCUGAAGUUAUUGAUCUUCGAGAAGGAAAUAAUUUUCAUCUUAAUCCUUCGGCAGAUUUCAGGUCGGAUGACACUCGACAACUUGUCGUUUAUUAUGAUGAGGAACAUAUAAGCAAACAAAUUAAAUCCUACUUUGUCA
rnacentral:lncRNA from 1 species